rnacentral:lncRNA from 1 species
AUGCAGAAGCAGCUCAGUCUUCACGCCAGCCACAGUCUGCCUAGAAAAGCAGGCCGCCCCAGCAGCCCUCCCCAAGUUGUGGGCAGGGUGCAGAGGUCAAGCUUCCAGGGGAGGCCGAGAGGUGGUCUGAGAAAGAAGCGAGGGCAAGGCCGGGAGGCGGGGUGCGAAAAAGGCUUGCACCCUCGCUCAGCCCUGGUCCCGCGAGGCCCCAAACCUCCGCUCGGGUCCCGCGCCGGGCCGCUCGACCCCCCGGCCGCGGCGCCCGAGCCCGGCCUCCCCGCCGCCGCCCGGGCCGCGGCUCGGACUCCAUUCCUCCGCCCCCGCUCACCUCCCGACUGCAGCAGUCGCCGCCGCUGGGCCGUGGCUCCGAGGGCGGGUUCCGGGCUCCUCCGAGCCGGGGGCUCGCGCCAGGCCGGCCGGGUCCCGGGCGGUGCGGGAGGGGUGGGGAAUCCCGGGGGAUCCCGGGAGGGGAGGGGAGGGGUCCCGGGCCGGGGGCCGGGGGUGGGGUCGGGCACCGGAGCUUUCAGUUUGUUCCGCUGUUUGAAAUUGGCGCCGGCGGAGCGUUGCGGUCACGUGACGGAGCGUCGCCAAUCGGCGGCCGCCCUUGUCUCCGCGUUCCGGGCCCAGGACGCGGCGGCCCGGGGGAGCGGCGGCCGCGACGGCGCCGGGCGGGUAAGGCGGGCCUGCGGCCGGCUCGUGGGGAGGGGCAGCGGGCCGCCGGGGCCGCCCUCGGGGCGCGGCGGGCGGGGGCGGGGGGCAGCCCGGGCGGCGGCGGCGGCGGGGGGCGGCGGGGGCGGGCGGCGGGCGGCGGGCGGCGGCGCUGCCCUGCCGGGCGCCUCGGCCUGCGCCCCCUCGCGCGUGGCGGCCGCUUCCCGGAGCCCGCCCCGCCCCGCCCCGCCCCCGGCGCCGCGCCCCCCGCCCCCCGCCUCCCGCCCCUUUCAGCGUCCCGGGCCCGGCUUCCCUGCGGGGGGGGGCGGGGGGCGCUCCUCCCUCACCUCCGCUAACGAUCCGCUGGCCGCGGCCGCCCGAACGCCCCUCGGCUCGUCUGAGCUAACUCCCGCUUAA